CAUUAUUGAACGCUGGCGGCAGGCCUAACACAUGCAAGUCGAGCGGUAGCACAGAGAGCUUGCUCUCGGGUGACGAGCGGCGGACGGGUGAGUAAUGUCUGGGAAACUGCCUGAUGGAGGGGGAUAACUACUGGAAACGGUAGCUAAUACCGCAUAACGUCGCAAGACCAAAGUGGGGGACCUUCGGGCCUCAUGCCAUCAGAUGUGCCCAGAUGGGAUUAGCUAGUAGGUGGGGUAACGGCUCACCUAGGCGACGAUCCCUAGCUGGUCUGAGAGGAUGACCAGCCACACUGGAACUGAGACACGGUCCAGACUCCUACGGGAGGCAGCAGUGGGGAAUAUUGCACAAUGGGCGCAAGCCUGAUGCAGCCAUGCCGCGUGUGUGAAGAAGGCCUUCGGGUUGUAAAGCACUUUCAGCGGGGAGGAAGGCGUUAAGGUUAAUAACCUUGGCGAUUGACGUUACCCGCAGAAGAAGCACCGGCUAACUCCGUGCCAGCAGCCGCGGUAAUACGGAGGGUGCAAGCGUUAAUCGGAAUUACUGGGCGUAAAGCGCACGCAGGCGGUCUGUCAAGUCGGAUGUGAAAUCCCCGGGCUCAACCUGGGAACUGCAUUCGAAACUGGCAGGCUAGAGUCUUGUAGAGGGGGGUAGAAUUCCAGGUGUAGCGGUGAAAUGCGUAGAGAUCUGGAGGAAUACCGGUGGCGAAGGCGGCCCCCUGGACAAAGACUGACGCUCAGGUGCGAAAGCGUGGGGAGCAAACAGGAUUAGAUACCCUGGUAGUCCACGCCGUAAACGAUGUCGAUUUGGAGGUUGUGCCCUUGAGGCGUGGCUUCCGGAGCUAACGCGUUAAAUCGACCGCCUGGGGAGUACGGCCGCAAGGUUAAAACUCAAAUGAAUUGACGGGGGCCCGCACAAGCGGUGGAGCAUGUGGUUUAAUUCGAUGCAACGCGAAGAACCUUACCUGGUCUUGACAUCCACAGAACUUUCCAGAGAUGGAUUGGUGCCUUCGGGAACUGUGAGACAGGUGCUGCAUGGCUGUCGUCAGCUCGUGUUGUGAAAUGUUGGGUUAAGUCCCGCAACGAGCGCAACCCUUAUCCUUUGUUGCCAGCGGUUCGGCCGGGAACUCAAAGGAGACUGCCAGUGAUAAACUGGAGGAAGGUGGGGAUGACGUCAAGUCAUCAUGGCCCUUACGACCAGGGCUACACACGUGCUACAAUGGCAUAUACAAAGAGAAGCGACCUCGCGAGAGCAAGCGGACCUCAUAAAGUAUGUCGUAGUCCGGAUUGGAGUCUGCAACUCGACUCCAUGAAGUCGGAAUCGCUAGUAAUCGUAGAUCAGAAUGCUACGGUGAAUACGUUCCCGGGCCUUGUACACACCGCCCGUCACACCAUGGGAGUGGGUUGCAAAAGAAGUAGGUAGCUUAACCUUCGGGAGGGCGCUUACCACUUUGU
rnacentral:rRNA from 1 species